UACGUAGGGUGCGAGCGUUUGUCCGGAAUUAUUGGGCGUAAAGAGCUCGUAGGCGGCCUGUCGCGUCGGAUGUGAAAGCCCGGGGCUUAACCCCGGGUCUGCAUUCGAUACGGGCAGGCUAGAGUUCGGUAGGGGAGACUGGAAUUCCUGGUGUAGCGGUGAAAUGCGCAGAUAUCAGGAGGAACACCGAUGGCGAAGGCAGGUCUCUGGGCCGAUACUGACGCUGAGGAGCGAAAGCGUGGGGAGCGAACAGG
rnacentral:rRNA from 1 species